AAUGCGUUGGAGGUGAAUUGCCGGUUGUCGGAGACAGUCUGUGACACGUACGGAUAGAUGACGGGUGCAAGUAUUGUUUUUUAUGUCUUGUGAUUUGUGAUUCAUUGUGUGUGUCUUUGAGAAUAUUCCAAGAUGAAAACUGAUUUUGAACAAAGAUUAUGGGAAUUAAUAUCAAAGAAAAAAGACAGGUCGUUGUUAUUAUCAGACGAACGUUACUUAGAAAUUGUAAAUGAGACAAAAGUAGCACUUCAAAGGAGACGGGAUGGGCUAGAAUUAUCAUCCAAACAAUAUCGUAGACUAAAACGAUAUGAUCUAUUAAUAGUUGGCGAAAAAGAUAAACUAAUUAACAAGGAACAUUUAGGAAACCAAUCAGGUUUAAUUUUUUAUUGUGCAGCAAGUGAAAUGUAUGAUAUAAUACACACAGCUCAUUUACAAAUAGGACACAAAAGAGAAAAGGCAAUGGAAAAUGAAAUAAAGAAGAAAUACUGCAAUGUUACUAGAGAGGUAAUUCAUAUAUAUUUAUACUUGUGUCAAUCGUGUGCUCUGAAGAAAAAGGCAAAAAGUAAAGGAUUAGUUGUGAAACCUAUGAUUAUGAGUGAAAUGAAUUCACGUUGCCAGGUUGACCUUAUCGAUAUGCAAAGUGAGCCUGAUGGAGAAUAUAAAUUUAUUUUCAAUUAUCAAGAUCACCUAACUAAAUUUGUAAUACUACGACCACUUAAAACAAAGACAGCAAAUGAAGUGGCAGAUGUUAUUCUCGAUAUAUUCUGUUUGUUUGGAGCCCCAAAUAUUUUGCAUAGUGACAAUGGAAGAGAAUUCAGCAACCAGGUCAUUGAACAAUUAGCAGCAAGUUGGUCAGCUAUAAAAAUAUGGUAAACUACGACACUCCCAGAGUCAGGGCUCCGUUGAAAGAGCAAAUCAAGAUGUUGUCGCGAUAGCCUUGUCAUCAGUUUGUCGCGAUAGCCUUGUAGCCUGGAUGUCAGAUAAUAACUGUCAAAAUUGAGCAAAAGGUCUUCGGAUUAUUCAGAGUACAAAAAACCGCAGUUUCCAUACAGGUAUAAAGCGAACACCUUAUGAAGCCAUGUUUGGAACUCCACAGAGAAAUGGACUUUUGGAUUCAUACUUGGACACCUAUGUAGCAAAUGAAAUUAAGACUGAAGAACAACUUGAAGAGCAUCUGAAAAUAAUAAAAGAAUCUUUAGAAAAAGAACAAGAAAACGACACCGAAUUUAAUAUCGAAAAGGAACGAGAAAACGAAACGCAAUUUCAUAAGGAAACCGAAUUAGAUAUAGAAGUCGAAAAUAAUACGAACGAGGAAAGGUUGAUAAAUGGAAAUGUCGAUAUGAUGAAUUGUUUUGUUUGUGAUAAUAUGUACGUCCUACGCAAUAAGUGCAUUGAAUGUAAUGAGUCAUUGCAUAUGGCCUGUGCCACUGAUUGGGAUUUACCAUUAUGCAAACUUUGUCGUAAUAAAAAGGCAACUGAUACGGAGAGAAGACAAGCUGAUAAAAUGCUUAACCAAUCGCAAAGCAAAUUUCCACCUAUUAAUGUAGGUGACAAUGUUUUGAUAAACGUACCAGAGGUAGAUCGCGGGCGUUUAGCUCCUUGAAACGUAUUAUCAGUCAUUAUGGAAAAAACAGAUCAAGGAUUGUACGUUCUGGGUACCGAAAAUGGAAAACUGACACGAUUAUACAGCAGAAAUGAGUUUCAAUUAUCUCCUUCAGUAUUUUUAUCCUUAUCUGAGGUUCCUGCAGAUUCUUCUGUCAAUGUGCGCCAGGAAGCCAUGUUGUCUUCGGGGUCUAAACAACGUUUUGUUAAAUGUAACUGUUUGAAAAGUUGUCAAACUAAAGCCUGUGCAAUAUGUGCAUGUGUAAAAUUAAAUAUAAAAUGUAAUUCCAAAUGCCACAAGAGUAAUUCUUGUAAGAACAAAUAGUGUUUUUCAAAUAAUUGUUAUUUUCCUAUUUCUACAUUUCAUUUAGUGUUUUGUUUUCAAUAUAAUAUCUAUCAUAUACUGUAACUCCGUGAUAGGUGUGUACCUUUUAAUAAACGUUUUAUAUUGUU